rnacentral:rRNA from 1 species
CCUGAUUGCCGGGUAGCAAUAUUCGGCAGUCGGAGUGGCGUAAGGGUGCGUAACACGUGGGUAAUCCGCCCUGAAGUUGGGGAUAACUCGCUGAAAGGCGAGCUAAUACCGAAUGUGGAUAUCGAGUGGCAUCGCUUGAGAUCUAAAGUUGGGGACCGUAAGGCCUGACGCUUCAGGAUGAGCCCGCGGCCUAUCAGCUUGUUGGUGAGGUAACGGCUCACCAAGGCUAAGACGGGUAGCUGGUCUGAGAGGACGACCAGCCACACUGGAACUGAGACACGGUCCAGACACCUACGGGUGGCAGCAGUCGAGAAUUUUUCACAAUGGGCGAAAGCCUGAUGGAGCGACGCCGCGUGGGGGAUGAAUGGCUUCGGCCCGUAAACCCCUGUCAUUUGCGAACAAACCUUGCCCGCUAACACCGGUCGAGCUGAUUGUAGCGAAAGAGGAAGGGACGGCUAACUCUGUGCCAGCAGCCGCGGUAAUACAGAGGUCCCAAGCGUUGUUCGGAUUCACUGGGCGUAAAGGGUGCGCAGGUGGUCGGGUAAGUCUGAUGUGAAGUCCCGCAGCUUAACUGCGGAAUGGCAUUGGAUACUAUUCGGCUAGAGGGUUGGAGGGGGGGACUGGAAUUCUCGGUGUAGCAGUGAAAUGCGUAGAUAUCGAGAGGAACACCAGUGGCGAAGGCGAGUCCCUGGACAACUCCUGACGCUGAGGCACGAAAGCUAGGGGAGCAAACAGGAUUAGAUACCCUGGUAGUCCUAGCCGUAAACGGUGCACGUUUGCUGUAAGAGGAAUCGACCCCUUUUGUGGCGAAGCUAACGCGUUAAACGUGCCGCCUGGGGAGUACGGUCGCAAGAUUAAAACUCAAAGAAAUUGACGGGGGCCUGCACAA